UAUGCAGUCACCCACCUAAAGCAAGAAUGUGAGUGGCAGCUGGAGCAAAGAUUAACCACGGAAAAUGUAGUUGACAUCUUCCAGUUAGCACUAUUAUGUGAUGCCUCUCGGCUUAGCCUUGUUUGUCAUCGUUUUAUGCUGAAAAAUUUUAAGCCUAUUUCUGCCACAGAAGGAUGGAAAGCUAUGAAACAAAGCCAUCCUGUGCUUGAAA
rnacentral:misc_RNA from 1 species